rnacentral:rRNA from 1 species
UACGGAGGGUGCAAGCGUUAUCCGGAUUUACUGGGUUUAAAGGGUGUGUAGGCGGACUUUUAAGUCAGCGGUGAAAUCUCCGGGCUCAACCCGGAAACUGCCAUUGAUACUAUUGGUCUUGAAUAUUGUGGAGGUGGGCGGAACGGGUCAUGUAGCGGUGAAAUGCUUAGAGAUGACCCGGAACACCGAUUGCGAAGGCAGCCCACUACGCAAUGAUUGACGCUGAGGCACGAAGGCGUGGGGAUCAAACAGG